AAGCUCGUGAGGAAAGUCGCCAGGGUGACUGGCGCCAGCGGCCGACCCGGGCCGUGCCAUCUUGGAGACGCUGCUUGAGCACGGCUGCGCGGCAUUCCUGGCCAAUGUGGACGGCGCCUCUGUAGCGUCGCUGAGGGAUGAACUGGACAACCACGGCGCCGCCGCUGAACGUGUCUCGUGAGAAACAGUGGGCCACUGCCGCGGCGGCAUGCAGGAACGCGCUUGGUCGCGUGUACAUUCUUGUGUGUCACGCCGGCAUCAACAUCAUGGAGGCCCUGGAGAGCACGACGCUGGAUGUGGGGCGCAAUACAAUGAAUGGGAAUGCCUUGGGCACCUUCCUUGGCAUCAGCACCCUGCUGCCGCUGAUGAAGGCGCAAGGGGGAGGAGGACGGAAGCAUCCUGUCUGUCGCAUCCAUGGGUGCGUUACGUGACACCACGGUGCAGUCCGCGUGUUGCGCCAGGGAGGAUGCAGCGCCUCUCAUGCGCGCGUCCCUGGCGCUGGAGCUCAUUCCCUUUAACACCUGCGUGAGCGUGAGGCACCUCGGCACGGGCAACACACCGAUGGGUGAGCACCUAACGCCUGCGACGCACCAGCAGCCGGAGAACCUCGGCAAGGCCUUGCCGAUCGGGCGCCUUCAGCAUCCGCACGUGAUCACAGAGCCAGUUUCAUUCUUCACCUCAGAUCGUACCUCGUGCAUGCUGGGCGCAGACGCCAAGCAUCGACGGCAACUCCACAGUGAAAUCUCACCUGUAGGCGGCGCAUCGAAAUUCCAAAGCAGCACGGAGACGGGAAGGAGGGAGAUGGGCGGGGACGUCUGUGCCCGUGUGGGCGCACAAGCCUAUCCACCUUCAAGUUCCUCGCCACACGCACCGGCUCUCCACUGUCUGAUUUACCGCCGAGACACCGCUGUCCGCGUCUGCUUUUUCUUCUCCAUCCCUUCCACCAUCGCCAUCGGCUGACUUUGCAGCGCUGCCGUUGCUACUGAUGCGCACCGCACAGACGUACGCGGCCCCACGCCCACCCAUCGUGGCUUCUCUCUCCGCCCUCUCAUCGCCGACUUACACUCAUCGCAUUCCAG
rnacentral:misc_RNA from 1 species